rnacentral:rRNA from 1 species
CAUGCAAGUCGAGCGAAUCAAAGGGAGCUUGCUCCCGGAGAUUAGCGGCGGACGGGUGAGUAACACGUGGGCAACCUGCCUGUAAGACUGGGAUAACUUCGGGAAACCGGAGCUAAUACCGGAUAGUUUCUUCCCUCUCAUGAGGGAAGAUGGAAAGACGGUCUCGGCUGUCACUUACAGAUGGGCCCGCGGCGCAUUAGCUAGUUGGUGAGGUAACGGCUCACCAAGGCGACGAUGCGUAGCCGACCUGAGAGGGUGAUCGGCCACACUGGGACUGAGACACGGCCCAGACUCCUACGGGAGGCAGCAGUAGGGAAUCUUCCGCAAUGGACGAAAGUCUGACGGAGCAACGCCGCGUGAGCGAUGAAGGCCUUCGGGUCGUAAAGCUCUGUUGUCAGGGAAGAACAAGUGCCAGAGUAACUGCUGGCGCCUUGACGGUACCUGACCAGAAAGCCACGGCUAACUACGUGCCAGCAGCCGCGGUAA